CCUGGUUUUGCCACUAAUUUUUGGUCAACAGUAAAUUUACCUCUCAGAGCCCAAGUAUUUGUAAUCUGUGAGAAUACUGGAUUAUAGUUUUCUAUCUUUAGCAUCUUAGCUUUUCCCAACUUUCCAGAUUCACAGAAGGCAUUGCCUGAGUUCAGGAACAGACUUUGGACGAUCCCCUUUAUAGAUUCUCCAAUCGUCCACAUGCGUGUUUGUAAUGGUGGUGGGGGGGGGGGGGGGUGGGGAGAGUAAAGAUGAAGUUCAUGUGACUCAUCGGGGCUCAUUAAAGGACUAAACAUGACAGGACCUGACAUUCCCAGGUUCCCACCAAGUAGACAGGCUGACAAAUCAGACAACUUAUGAUUAUAGUCUCCGUAAGUGAGUAGGUACAGCUUUGAACUUGAGAUAGACAGCAGCGGCUUUGUGACUUCACGGAUUUAAAUUACUUUCAGGGAGGCUGGCAAUCCAAAAGAAAGACAAAUGCUGACUUAAACAGAUACAAUGUCUCCAUGUUGUUUCUCUGUUGUUUCUCUGUUGACUGCUAGAGCAGUCUAGCUUCAUCAUAAGGCAGAUGGAAUUAUGUGCGGUAUGAUGUUCUAAAGCAGCAAUACUAAAAACGGCCUUAAAUUUCCCAGAUGAGCACACAGUUAAGGCGCCAUCAUAUCCCCAGUGUAUUCUGAAGUCAAGAACUUAACAAGAAGGAUGACCAGGUUGCAGAUUUUUCCACAAGCUUACCAUACAGCUAAAGGGACAAGAAUAAUCGUCAGUGUGAUAUUGUUCAGUAACAUCAUUCCUUUUACAGAGAGGAAGGCCAUAUCUCCAGGCCUUCGGGUAGAAAUCCUUCGUCUUCUUCCUCAGAUAAGAAAUGGAUCUUAGGUCACACAGCGGCCAAGUCAUCGCACAGACUCAAACUAAUCCCGGAAGACUAUGUGAAACCACCCCCAGUCCACAGAUCUUAUGACUCAUAUAUAUCCAGACACAGAAGGACUGUGACACAACUGUGACAUCUCUGUUUCCCUGGAAAUAAACUGAAACCAGAAGGCAUGGAGAAGACCAUUAUGUCUUGGUUUUGUUAGCUCCUCCCAGAAAUACUCUGAAUGAAAAAGAAUUCUCUGCCAUAGGGAGAAUAGCAGAACAGUAGCAGAAAAUAUUUAUGAUCUAUUUUCUUUUUCCAAUUUCACCCAAAAAAUCAACCUGUGCAACACACGUACCCUGGUGUUGGUCCACUUGUGCCAACUUGUACUGGUUUGUGGGGCAAAUGCAGCAGAUUCACACAAACUUACAGACACAGAACGAACUACAGGAAGAAAAGGAAGCUGACAGAGGAAACAGAUUUUUU